AUUGAACGCUGGCGGCAGGCCUAACACUUGCAAGUCGAGCGAGCGGCGGACGGGUGAGUAAUGUAUGGGGACUGCCCGAUAGAGGGGGAUAACUACUGGAACCGGUGGCUAAUACCGCAUACUUUCGGCUAAACCAUAGGGGAUUAGCUAGUAGGUAAGGCAAUGGCUUUCCUAGGCGACGAUCCCUAGCUGGUCUGAGAAGAUGAUCAGCCACACUGGGACGGAGACACGGCCCAGACUCCUACGGAGGCAGCAGUGGGGAAUAUUGCACAAUGGGCGCAAGCCUGAUGCAGCCAUGCCGCGUGUAUGAAGAAGGCCCUAGGGUUGUAAAGUACUUUCAGUCGGGAGGCGUUACCGACAGAAGAAGCACCGGCUAACUCCGUGCCAGCAGCCGCGGUAAUAC
rnacentral:rRNA from 1 species